AACCUAGCACACCUGCGGUGUGUACCUGCGGAAGGAUCAUUACCGAGUUUACAACUCCCAAACCCCUGUGAACAUACCUAUACGUUGCCUCGGCGGAUCAGCCCGCGCCCCGUAAAAAGGGACGGCCCGCCCGAGGACCCCUAAACUCUGUUUUUAGUGGAACUUCUGAGUAAAACAAACAAAUAAAUCAAAACUUUCAGCAACGGAUCU
rnacentral:misc_RNA from 1 species